rnacentral:rRNA from 1 species
UACAGAGGUCUCAAGCGUUGUUCGGAUUCAUUGGGCGUAAAGGGUGCGUAGGCGGCGCGGUAAGUCGGGUGUGAAAUCUUGGAGCUUAACUCCGAAACUGCAUUCGAUACUGCCGUGCUUGAGGACUGGAGAGGAGACUGGAAUUUACGGUGUAGCGGUGAAAUGCGUAGAUAUCGUAAGGAAGACCAGUGGCGAAGGCGGGUCUCUGGACAGUUCCUGACGCUGAGGCACGAAGGCCAGGGGAGCGAACAGG